GACGAACGCUGGCGGCGUGCCUAAUACAUGCAAGUCGAGCGCAGGAAGCCGUCUGGACCCUUCGGGGGGACGACGGUGGAAUGAGCGGCGGACGGGUGAGUAACACGUAAAGAACCUGCCCAUAGGUCUGGGAUAACCACGAGAAAUCGGGGCUAAUACCGGAUAUGUCAUCGGACCGCAUGGUCCGCUGAUGAAAGGCGCUCCGGCGUCGCCCAUGGAUGGCUUUGCGGUGCAUUAGCUAGUCGGUGGGGUAACGGCCCACCAAGGCGACGAUGCAUGGCCGAGCUGAGGGGGAGACCGGCCACACUGGGACUGAGAAACGGCCCAGACUCCGACGGGAGGCAGCAGUAGGGAAUCUUCCACAAUGGACGAAAGUCUGAUGGAGCAACGCCGCGUGAACGAUGAAGGCUUUCGGGUCGUAAAGUUCUGUUGUAAGGGAAGAACAAGUGCCGCAGGCAAUGGCGGCACCUUGACGGUACCUUGCGAGAAAGCCACGGCUAACUACGUGCCAGCAGCCGCCGUAA
rnacentral:rRNA from 1 species